rnacentral:lncRNA from 9 species
UCCAGAUCUCUGAUUCUGUGGUAUUAAAAAUGCAUUUAAAAGUUGGGGGCACGAAAAAGAAAAAAAAUGCUUUAUAUGAGUUUUUUUUUUAAUUUAAAUUGAAACAUACAAAAAAUUAGGAAGCCAACUUCUUUCAGAGAGGGAAAACUCUCUAAAUGUCUCCUCACAAUACCUCUGAAUGUAUACAUUUUGGCUGCAAAUUCAACUUGGACUUUGACUUCCAAUUGUAUUUUGGGUGUAAACAGUAACCAAGAAACAGUAACCAAGUUUCUUAUUAGAAUGAGCUGCCAGAGAAUGUUGUAUUAUUGGGCAGCAGAGAGCACUGCCCCUGGUCAGUGGAUUAAUAAUUGAGUGUUCUGAUUAGUGGCAUCUGGAGUAUACAGAAAAGAAAACACUGCGUGAGAAGGAACAUUUCUAAUUGUGGGCCCAGGGACUUUCACAUUGCUGGGUCUUCAUGUCUUUCCCCAGGAGGACUGGUCUCUAAAAGGUAUUUCUGCAAGAAGCAAGACAAAUUGUCUCUGAAGAAUUCACUUGAAUCUUAUGUAUUUAACAUGAAAGCAGCCAUUGAAGAUAAAAACUUUAAGGCGAGAUCAACAAUACGGACAAAUAGAAGAUUCUUGACAAGUGUAGUGAAAUCAUCUACUGGCUCGAUAGGAACCAGACUGCAGAGAAGGAAGAAUACGAACAUUUGCAGAAAGAUCUGGAAAAAGUCUGUACACCCAUAAUUACUAAGCCAGACUGGAGUGCAGGAGGCAUGCCAGGAAGAAUGCCUGGGGACUUCCCUGGUGGUGGUGCUUCUCCAUUUGGUGAGGUCUUCUCUAGGCCCACCAUUGCAGAGGUCGAAUAAACCAACUUGAGCAUAGAUUUAGCAUGGUUCCACACAAAACAUUGAAGGACCCACAUUUGUAGCAAAUCCCAUGGCUGUUUUAAAGUUGAACUGCUGGAGUUCCUGUUAUGGCUCCGCGGAAACAAAUCCGACUAGGAACCAUGAGGUUUUGGGUUCAAUCCCUGGCCUUGCUUAGUAC